UACGAAGGGGGCUAGCGUUGCUCGGAAUUACUGGGCGUAAAGGGCGCGUAGGCGGAUAUUUAAGUUGGGGGUGAAAUCCCGGGGCUCAACCUCGGAAUUGCCUUCAAAACUGGAUAUCUUGAGUUCGGGAGAGGUGAGUGGAACUCCGAGUGUAGAGGUGAAAUUCGUAGAUAUUCGGAAGAACACCAGUGGCGAAGGCGACUCACUGGCCCGAUACUGACGCUGAGACGCGAAAGCGUGGGGAGCAAACAGG
rnacentral:rRNA from 1 species